AUGGAUGACGUCGGCGGCGCCUCCCCGGAUCACUACGGCGGAGGCGGGGGAGGAGGAAGCAUCCGCCUGGUCUGCGACAACUGCGGCGCGGCGGAGGAAUACAACCCCGACGACGCCGAGGACGGCUUCUUCUCGUGCCGCCAGUGCUCCGCUGUCCACACCUCCACCCAGGCGACUGCCGCGGACCCCGACGAUUUCCAUGUCACCGGCGCCAUGUCCUUCCACCGAGUUAGCCAAGCCAACAAAACCCCCAAAUCCCGCACCCCCGCACCCUACCCAACCCCUUACCCCACUCGGCAGCCCCCUGCUGCGACUGACUUCGAGGAGCCGCGCGACUUUGUGACUGGCGCCGAGGCUUGGGGCGAGCCAGAGGAGCUGGGUGCUCGGGUCCGGUGGCGCUACGUGCAGGGGCUGCAGGUGAUCCUGCAACAGCAGCUGGAAGUGCUGGUCAAGAGGUACCGGGUGGGCGCGCUUGUCUGCGGCCUGGCUGGAACUAUCUGGGUGCGGUGGGUUGCUACCUCCAAGGUGUUCGACGAAAUUUGGGCGUGGAAGGUGCUCGCAGAGGACGAGGCUGCGCAGAGACUGAAGUGCUCUGCCAGUGGAGGCGAACAGAAACCUCAAGAGGUGAAAUGUGAAUGGGGGGAUGAAGCCUUGCCACGCAAAGACAGGCGAAGGGUUGAGUUCAUCUUUCUGCGCUCAUUGAGAAUGAUGCUGCCAGUGUACUCAACAUUGUCUGUAUGUUUCCUGGCAUGUCAUAUUGCCCGGGAAGCCAUCCUACCGACUGACAUCUAUAGGUGGGCAAUGGAGGGUAAGCUUCCUUAUAUGGCAGCAUUUACCGAAGUGGACAAGCUUCUUGGGAGCUCUGUAAAACACUGCCCUUUGAGUGCAAGGCAACUAUUCAGACCAGUCCGAGUGAUUGGAACAUGGCAACUGGAAGCUGCAGCUGGGUCCAUAGCACAACGAAUAGGAUUGCAGCUUCCUUCAGUUAAUUUCUAUGCUAUUGCUCAACGCUACUUGAAUGAGUUGUCUCUGCCGAUAGAAAGAAUCCUCCCUCAUGCUUGCCGCAUCUAUGAGUGGGCAUUGCCUGCAGAACUAUGGUUGUCUAGUAAUCCAUUAAGGGUCCCCACACGGGUCUGUGUAAUGGCUAUACUAAUAGUGGCUCUAAGAGUUCAGUAUAACAUCAAUGGUCAAGGGAUAUGGGAGGAGAUUUGUGAGACAGGAAGAAAUGCAGAUGGGUCUGAUCCAGAUGCAAAUUUACCACCAUCUAAGAGGCCUGAAGGCGGCACUAGUGAGGAAUUCGGCACAAGGGAAUUGCUAUGCACUCUUGCAAGUGCCUAUGAUAAAAUUGAUGUUGCGCAUGACUAUUCAAAGGACCUUCACUCUUAUCUCAAAUACUGCAAAGAUAUUGUUUUCCCUGGAAUUGCAUGUUCAGUUGAAGAGGAUCACUUAGUAGAGAUCUUUCAGGAUAUGUACAAAGGACGAGAGGAUGGGAAUCCAAAAGCUCGCAUGGAGGAAAGGCGAACCACGAAUGGAGUGAUGAAUAAACGAUGUCGUGAUGGAACUUCUGUUGGUGCAAGGAGCUUUUGUGCAUCAUCAUCAGAGAUGCAAAGGAUUAAGUCGGAAAUGGAAGAUCAUGGGUUUUGUUAUCUGCCGCCAAGGAAGUGGCUUAGAUCAAAUGGCUACCUUCACUAUAGAAGGAAGACGAUAACCGGUAGUCUUGUUUGCAUCGGACAUGCUGAUUAUUACGUGUUGAUACGCUCAUUUGCAAAGCUUGCAGAAGUUGAUGUUAGGGUUCUGCAUACCAGUGUGCUAAAACUCGAGAGGAGACUUGCCUGGAUAGAAGAGCGAAUAGGCAGAAGCUUAGAUGCCUUGCAGAAUCCACCUAUUAGCUAA
rnacentral:rRNA from 1 species